GCUCCGCUUAUCUGUGUGUGCAGUCCUUGCCAAAGAAGAACAUUAAGGUAAAGACGAAGUGCUUAUAGGUGCGGGAGCUACUACUUUCAAAUCACUACACAGCGUCUACCAGUGACGAACCUGUCCAAAAAGCUACUCCUGGUUGAGGUAAAAAGUCAUUAUUCCUCCAGAAUCCAUUGUACCCACAUCUGAUCGUGAAAUAUUAGCUUCGCAGCUAUGCAUGCAUAAUCAAUCACUUACAUAUCAAAGGCAGCACAGGUGCAGAAGCGAAUACAAGAGUUGACGAUAUUGUACCUGCGUAUGAUACCCCACGGAACACUUUACCAGUGUUUCUACAUGAAUUCUGUCCUUCUUCCACCUUUUCUCCCUGAGUACGGCUUAAAUGCAUUGUUACGUUACGCCAAACAGGUAACUCUUAUUCUAAAUGCAAUAUUUGAAGCAUUACUAAGAGCAUAUGCAACAUAAAACAUAUGAAUUACACUGGUCCUUGAAUAUACUAAGUUGAUGCUAAUUGAUAACAAAAUGUCCUUGGGCCUAAUAAGUUAUGGCUAAUUGAUUAAUAAUAGAAAUCUUAAAGAUUUUAUGACAUAAUCGCUAGAAUUAAGCAUGAUGAUGACAAGAAAGCAGAACGGAAACCAACCUAGGCCAGGCUGUUUCAAUAGAAACUUUACACAAAACAACUACUUCACUAAGCAAAUCUUGAUAACUGAUGCAGCACCAAUCCGAUGAAGAGCCACAACAGAAUCACCAGGCGUGCAAAGCCCUUUCUCUGUGGCUGAUUUCAAGGAAGCUUGCAAGAUCACCUCAGUUGAUUCAGCAUCAGUCGCCU
rnacentral:lncRNA from 1 species